rnacentral:rRNA from 1 species
UGGCGGCGCGUCUUAAGCAUGCAAGUCGAACGGCAUGAGGAAGCUUGCUUCCUCAGAGAGUGGCGGACUGGUGAGUAACACGUGGGUGACCUACCCUUGAGAUGGGGAUAGCCGUUAGAAAUAGCGGAUAAUACCGAAUACGCUCUACGGACUCUGGUUUGUAGAGGAAACAGGCUACGGCCUGGCUCGAGGAUGGGCCCGCGUCCCAUUAGCUAGUUGGUGAGGUAAGAGCCCACCAAGGCGACGAUGGGUAUCCGGCCUGAGAGGGUGUACGGACACAUUGGGACUGAGAUACGGCCCAAACUCCUACGGGAGGCAGCAGCUAAGAAUAUUCCGCAAUGGACGAAAGUCUGACGGAGCGACGCCGCGUGGAUGACGAAGGCCGAAAGGUUGUAAAAUCCUUUUGCUGAUGAAGAAUAAGCGUGGUAGGGAAUGACCGCGUGAUGACAUUAGUCGGUGAAUAAGCCCCGGCUAACUACGUGCCAGCCGCUGC